rnacentral:misc_RNA from 1 species
GAUUGAAGAACGUAGCGAAAUGCGAUAAGUAAUGUGAAUUGCAGAAUUCAGUGAAUCAUCGAAUCUUUGAACGCACCUUGCACCCUUUGGCAUUCCGAAGGGUAUGCUCGUUUGAGUGUCAUUGUACUCUCACACUCUCCGAUCCUAUGGAUUCGGGGAGCGGUGGACUUGGGUGUUGCUGCCUUUCCCUGUGGCUCACCUCAAAUGCGUCAGUGCACCUCUUGGUUGGACAUAGUACGGCGUGAUAAGUGUCUUCGCCGGCACCUCGCAAGAGGGUGGCCGAUCGGGAGCUCUGCGCUUUCAAACCGUCUUCGGACAAUUUCUGACAUCUUGACCUCAAAUCGAGUAGGACUACCCGCUGAACUUAAGCAUAUCAAUAAGCGGAGGA